rnacentral:rRNA from 1 species
AACGAACGCUGGCGGCAUGCCUAACACAUGCAAGUCGAACGAACCCUUCGGGGUUAGUGGCGCACGGGUGCGUAACGCGUGGGAAUCUGCCCUUGGCUUCGGAAUAACAGUUAGAAACGACUGCUAAUACCGGAUGAUGUCGCAAGACCAAAGAUUUAUCGGCCAGGGAUGAGCCCGCGUAGGAUUAGGUAGGUGGUGGGGUAAAGGCCUACCAAGCCGACGAUCCUUAGCUGGUCUGAGAGGAUGAUCAGCCACACUGGGACUGAGACACGGCCCAGACUCCUACGGGAGGCAGCAGUGGGGAAUAUUGGACAAUGGGGGCAACCCUGAUCCAGCAAUGCCGCGUGAGUGAUGAAGGCCUUAGGGUUGUAAAGCUCUUUUACCCGGGAUGAUAAUGACAGUACCGGGAGAAUAAGCUCCGGCUAACUCCGUGCCAGCAGCCGCCGUAA